UUUACAAUGGGAGACUAUGAAGUACAUCCUUUAAUUGGGCACCUUGGAUGUAUGGAGUCAGUGGUGCAACCGGCCUCACAACAU
rfam:Solibacillus silvestris StLB046 DNA, complete genome.